UCUCCGUUGGUGAACCAGCGGAGGGAUCAUUACAGAGUUGCAAAACUCCCAAACCAUUGUGAACGUUACCUAUCCCGUUGCUUCGGCGGGCGGCCCGGGCCCCGCGCCCGGCGCCCCCCGGCCCCCCGUGGGCGCCCGCCGGAGGUAAACCAAACCCUUGAAUUGCAUGGCCUCUCUGAGUCUUCUGUGCUGAAUAAGUCAAAACUUUCAACAACGGAUCUCUUGGUUCUG
rnacentral:misc_RNA from 1 species